GCGGGUGCGCUUCGUCGGCCUCCGGAGCCGAAGGUCAGAGGUUCGAAUCCUCUCGGGCGCA
rnacentral:tRNA from 1 species